rnacentral:piRNA from 1 species
AAGGCAAAAUUUUGGCUGCGAGUCCUAUAA